UACGUAGGGCGCAAGCGUUAUCCGGAAUUAUUGGGCGUAAAGGGCUCGUAGGCGGUUUGUCGCGUCGGGAGUGAAAUCCACUGGCUUAACUGGUGGCUUGCUUUCGAUACGGGCAGACUGGAGGUAUGCAGGGGAGAACGGAAUUCCUGGUGUAGCGGUGAAAUGCGCAGAUAUCAGGAAGAACACCGGUGGCGAAGGCGGCUCUCUGGGCCUUACCUGACGCUGAGGAGCGAAAGCCAGGGGAGCAAACGGG
rnacentral:rRNA from 1 species